GGGUUGUGAGGUUAAGCGACUAAGCGUACACGGUGGAUGCCCUGGCAGUCAGAGGCGAUGAAGGACGUGCUAAUCUGCGAAAAGCGUCGGUAAGGUGAUAUGAACCGUUAUAGCCGGCGAUGUCCGAAUGGGGAAACCCAGUGCAAUUCGUUGCACUAUCGUUAACUGAAUACAUAGGUUAACGAGGCGAACCGGGGGAACUGAAACAUCUAAGUACCCCGAGGAAAAGAAAUCAACCGAGAUUCCCCCAGUAGCGGCGAGCGAACGGGGAGCAGCCCGGAGUCUGAAUCAGCUUGUGUGUUAGUGGAAGCGUCUGGAAAGUCGCAGGGUACAGGGUGAUACUCCCGUACACUAAAACACACAGGUUGUGAACUCGAAGAGUAGGGCGGGACACGUGGUAUCCUGUCUGAAUAUGGGGGGACCAUCCUCCAAGGCUAAAUACUCCUGACUGACCGAUAGUGAACCAGUACCGUGAGGGAAAGGCGAAAAGAACCCCGGCGAGGGGAGUGAAAAAGAACCUGAAACCGUGUACGUACAAGCAGUAGGAGCCCACUAGUUGGGUGACUGCGUACCUUUUGUAUAAUGGGUCAGCGACUUAUAUUCUGUAGCAAGGUUAACCGUAUAGGGGAGCCGCAGGGAAACCGAGUCUUAACUGGGCGUUAAGUUGCAGGGUAUAGACCCGAAACCCGGUGAUCUAGCCAUGGGCAGGUUGAAGGUUGGGUAACACUAACUGGAGGACCGAACCGACUAAUGUUGAAAAAUUAGCGGAUGACUUGUGGCUGGGGGUGAAAGGCCAAUCAAACCGGGAGAUAGCUGGUUCUCCCCGAAAGCUAUUUAGGUAGCGCCUCGUGAAUUCAUCUUCGGGGGUAGAGCACUGUUUCGGCUAGGGGGUCAUCCCGACUUACCAACCCGAUGCAAACUACGAAUACCGAAGAAUGUUAUCACGGGAGACACACGGCGGGUGCUAACGUCCGUCGUGAAGAGGGAAACAACCCAGACCGCCAGCUAAGGUCCCAAAGUCAUGGUUAAGUGGGAAACGAUGUGGGAAGGCCCAGACAGCCAGGAUGUUGGCUUAGAAGCAGCCAUCAUUUAAAGAAAGCGUAAUAGCUCACUGGUCGAGUCGGCCUGCGCGGAAGAUGUAACGGGGCUAAACCAUGCACCGAAGCUGCGGCAGCGACACUAUGUGUUGUUGGGUAGGGGAGCGUUCUGUAAGCCGUUGAAGGUGGCCUGUGAGGGUUGCUGGAGGUAUCAGAAGUGCGAAUGCUGACAUAAGUAACGAUAAUGCGGGUGAAAAACCCGCACGCCGGAAGACCAAGGGUUCCUGUCCAACGUUAAUCGGGGCAGGGUGAGUCGACCCCUAAGGCGAGGCCGAAAGGCGUAGUCGAUGGGAAACAGGUUAAUAUUCCUGUACUCGGUGUUACUGCGAAGGGGGGACGGAGAAGGCUAUGUUGGCCGGGCGACGGUUGUCCCGGUUUAAGCAUGUAGGCGGAUGUUCCAGGUAAAUCCGGAACGUCACUAACGCUGAGGUGUGAUGACGAGGCACUACGGUGCUGAAGUGACAAAUGCCCUGCUUCCAGGAAAAGCCUCUAAGCAUCAGGUAACAUCAAAUCGUACCCCAAACCGACACAGGUGGUCAGGUAGAGAAUACCAAGGCGCUUGAGAGAACUCGGGUGAAGGAACUAGGCAAAAUGGUGCCGUAACUUCGGGAGAAGGCACGCUGAUGGUAGGUGAAGUGACUUGCUCAUGGAGCUGAAAUCAGUCGAAGAUACCAGCUGGCUGCAACUGUUUAUUAAAAACACAGCACUGUGCAAACACGAAAGUGGACGUAUACGGUGUGACGCCUGCCCGGUGCCGGAAGGUUAAUUGAUGGGGUUAUCCGUAAGGAGAAGCUCUUGAUCGAAGCCCCGGUAAACGGCGGCCGUAACUAUAACGGUCCUAAGGUAGCGAAAUUCCUUGUCGGGUAAGUUCCGACCUGCACGAAUGGCGUAAUGAUGGCCAGGCUGUCUCCACCCGAGACUCAGUGAAAUUGAACUCGCUGUGAAGAUGCAGUGUACCCGCGGCAAGACGGAAAGACCCCGUGAACCUUUACUAUAGCUUGACACUGAACACUGGUCCUUGAUGUGUAGGAUAGGUGGGAGGCUUUGAAGUGUGGACGCCAGUCUGCAUGGAGCCAUCCUUGAAAUACCACCCUUUAAUGGCUGGUGUUCUAACGUGGGCCCCUGAUCGGGGUUGCGGACAGUGUCUGGUGGGUAGUUUGACUGGGGCGGUCUCCUCCUAAAGAGUAACGGAGGAGCACGAAGGUCAGCUAAUCCUGGUCGGACAUCAGGAGGUUAGUGCAAUGGCAUAAGCUGGCUUGACUGCGAGCGUGACGGCGCGAGCAGGUGCGAAAGCAGGUCAUAGUGAUCCGGUGGUUCUGAAUGGAAGGGCCAUCGCUCAACGGAUAAAAGGUACUCCGGGGAUAACAGGCUGAUACCGCCCAAGAGUUCAUAUCGACGGCGGUGUUUGGCACCUCGAUGUCGGCUCAUCACAUCCUGGGGCUGAAGUAGGUCCCAAGGGUAUGGCUGUUCGCCAUUUAAAGUGGUACGCGAGCUGGGUUUAGAACGUCGUGAGACAGUUCGGUCCCUAUCUGCCGUGGGCGCUGGAGAAUUGAGGGGGGCUGCUCCUAGUACGAGAGGACCGGAGUGGACGCAUCACUGGUGUUCGGGUUGUCAUGCCAAUGGCAUUGCCCGGUAGCUAAAUGCGGAAGAGAUAAGUGCUGAAAGCAUCUAAGCACGAAACUUGCCCCGAGAUGAGUUCUCCCUGACUCCUUGAGAGUCCUGAAGGAACGUUGAAGACGACGACGUUGAUAGGCCGGGUGUGUAAGCGCAGCGAUGCGUUGAGCUAACCGGUACUAAUGAACCGUGAGGCUUAACCUUACAACGCCGAAG
rnacentral:rRNA from 2 species